ensembl:lncRNA
UGAGUGGCUCUUCAAUGACUUCAUUGAAAGAAACACUGUAACACUUUUUGAACAUGGACAGAAAGAAGCAGACAGACUGAAUGUUACAGCAGGCUGUGCUCUGGUUAUAAAGAAGGUCACAGAUCAGGAUGUUGGUUGUUACACCUGCAGGCAGUUCAUAUCAGGAAGCCAACACUCAGACUCUUUGGUUUUUUUAUUUUUGCUUCACAUGACUGAACAGAAGGACAAUGAUAAACUCAUCUUGUCCUGCAAUGUGUUCCCACAUCAAAACUGUAGUUACACAGUGGAGUGGCUGUAUCAGGGUAAAGAGGAAAUAUCUAACUCAGAUAUGGAGAUAUCACCAGGUGAAUGCAGUUCUACUGUCACAUUUAGAUCAUCUACCUUUAAGCAGACGAUUUAUGAGUCAUUGAAGUGUAAUGUGACAAAUAAAGACACUAAAUCAGCACAGCUGUUUCCCUUUACCUUGAAGUCCUCGGGUGACAAAACAGGUGGAGAUGAAAGAACAGCAACAACAAAAUCAACAACUACAGUUAUGCCAACGUCAGCUAUAAGAAGUGGAGAGACUACUUUAGAGGACAGAACCACAUCAAAUGGAAGUUACAUAACAUUUCCAAACAAAAGAAAAGAAAAACGAGGUUGGUCAUGGUGGUUCAUUGUUGUUCUUGUGGGUUUGGCAACACUCACAGGGAUUGCUGUAAUCAUAAUCAGACAGAAGACAAUGAAAGGUGAGACCAAUCACAGAUUGAAAGGAAAUAAAAGGCAAAGGGAAGAAAACACAACUGAACCUGGUGUUUCCUAUGCUUCCAUCAACUUCACCAGGAAGAGUAAGACGAAAGCCCAGGUAAAGUAUAUUUCUAUCCAAAUCAUGACCAGUAUGUGUUGUUUUAAAUUAUAAGGUAUGUGGAAUUUAGCUUUCAUGUUUUCUUUUAGGUUCUAGGUGACGGUGACACUGUGACCUAUAGCACUGUGAAAACUUUCUCCACUUCUGGAGUUUUCUGUGAUCCCAGCAGCCUUUACUCCAAUGUAAACAAACCAAAGAAAUAAGAUAUUACUUACUGCAUGUAUGACGUUGUUUAAAAUGUUGC